AACGAACGCUGGCGGCAUGCCUAACACAUGCAAGUCGAACGAGACCUUCGGGUCUAGUGGCGCACGGGUGCGUAACGCGUGGGAACCUGCCCUUAGGUUCGGAAUAACUCCCCGAAAGGGGUGCUAAUACCGGAUAAUGUCUUCGGACCAAAGAUUUAUCGCCUUUGGAUGGGCCCGCGUUGGAUUAGCUAGUUGGUAGGGUAAAAGCCUACCAAGGCGACGAUCCAUAGCUGGUCUGAGAGGAUGAUCAGCCACACUGGGACUGAGACACGGCCCAGACUCCUACGGGAGGCAGCAGUGGGGAAUAUUGGACAAUGGGCGAAAGCCUGAUCCAGCAAUGCCGCGUGAGUGAUGAAGGCCUUAGGGUUGUAAAGCUCUUUUACCCGGGAAGAUAAUGACAGUACCGGGAGAAUAAGCUCCGGCUAACUCCGUG
rnacentral:rRNA from 1 species